rnacentral:rRNA from 1 species
GACUAGAGUACUGUAGAGGGGGGUAGAAUUUUCAGGGUGUAGCGGUGAAAUGCGUAGAGAUUCUGAAGGAAUUACCGGUGGCGAAAGGCGGGCCCCCUGGACAGAUACUGACACUCAGAUGCGAAAGCGUGGGGAGCAAACAGGAUUAGAUACCCCUGGUAGUCCACGCCGUAAACGAUGUCUACUUGGAGGUUGUGGCCUUGAGCCGUGGCUUUUCGGAGCUAACGCGUUAAGUAGACCGCCUGGGGAGUACGGUCGCAAGAUUAAAACUCAAAUGAAUUGACGGGGGCCCGCACAAGCGGUGGAGCAUGUGGUUUAAUUCGAUGCAACGCGAAGAACCUUACCUACUCUUGACAUCCAGAGAACUUUCCAGAGAUGGAUUGGUGCCUUCGGGAACUCUGAGACAGGUGCUGCAUGGCUGUCGUCAGCUCGUGUUGUGAAAUGUUGGGUUAAGUCCCGCAACGAGCGCAACCCUUAUCCUUGUUUGCCAGCGAGUAAUGUCGGGAACUCCAGGGAGACUGCCGGUGAUAAACCGGAGGAAGGUGGGGACGACGUCAAGUCAUCAUGGCCCUUACGAGUAGGGCUACACACGUGCUACAAUGGCGCAUACAGAGGGCGGCCAACUUGCGAAAGUGAGCGAAUCCCAAAAAGUGCGUCGUAGUCCGGAUUGGAGUCUGCAACUCGACUCCAUGAAGUCGGAAUCGCUAGUAAUCGUGGAUCAGAAUGCCACGGUGAAUACGUUCCCGGGCCUUGUACACACCGCC